UACAGAGGUCUCAAGCGUUGUUCGGAUUCAUUGGGCGUAAAGGGUGCGUAGGUGGUGCUGUAAGUCGGGUGUGAAAUUUCGGAGCUUAACUCCGAAACUGCAUUCGAUACUGCGGUGCUUGAGGACUGGAGAGGAGACUGGAAUUCAUGGUGUAGCAGUGAAAUGCGUAGAGAUCAUGAGGAAGACCAGUGGCGAAGGCGGGUCUCUGGACAGUUCCUGACGCUGAGGCACGAAGGCCAGGGGAGCAAACGGG
rnacentral:rRNA from 1 species